rfam:Gossypium hirsutum cultivar TM-1 chromosome 2, whole genome shotgun sequence
AUGUCGUGAUGAGGGCACUUUCAUAGUAAUUCCUUGAACUGCUCCCAUGCCUCAUAUAAAGAUUCUUCAUCAAGUUGUUGAAAUGAAGUGAUUCAUUUCGGAUCUU